rnacentral:rRNA from 1 species
GACGUAGGAGGCGAGCGUUGUCCGGAUUCAUUGGGCGUAAAGAGCACGCAGGCGGUUUGGCAAGUCGGAUGUGAAAAUUCGGAGCUCAACUCCGGGCGUGCAUCCGAUACUGCCCGACUAGAGGUAGGUAGGGGAGAUCGGAAUUCCUGGUGUAGCGGUGAAAUGCGCAGAUAUCAGGAAGAACACCAAUGGCGAAGGCAGCUCUCUGGGACGGUACUGACACUGAGACGCGAAAGCGUGGGGAGCGAACAGG